UACGAAGGGGGCUAGCGUUGUUCGUAAUUACUGGGCGUAAAGCGCACGUAGGCGGAUUUGCCAGUCAGGGGUGAAAUCCCGGGGCUCAACCUCGGAACUGCCUCUGAUACAGCAAGUCUUGAGUCCGGAAGAGGUGGGUGGAAUUCCGAGUGUAGAGGUGAAAUUCGUAGAUAUUAGGAAGAACACCAGUGGCGAAGGCGGCCCACUGGUCCGGUACUGACGCUGAGGUGCGAAAGCGUGGGGAGCAAACAGG
rnacentral:rRNA from 1 species